GGGUUUUCCUCCUUUUCGGUUGUGGGGACGGAGCAGCCUUCUGUUGUUUUCGCUUCUUGGGAGAAGGUCCCUUUGGAGCUUUGGACACUUGCUUCCCCUUGUCUGCCUUUUUGCCCCUGGCCACCGGUUUAUCGGCAUCAUGAAUUGAUCGCAGCAUGUCCGGUGUCAGUUCCCUCGGACCAGUUUGGCGAAACUCUUUGAUCGUCCUGAUCAGUCUGCUAUCGGCGGACACAUCAGCAUACAUCGACUUAGGGAUAUAGCCAAUGAAUGAGAACUUUGAUGCAUCGGAUACGAUGAUCUUCUUGGUAUGAAACGUACCAAUAGAAGACAUCGGUGCACCGUCGGCUGUUGGAACGUUAAACUUGUCCAUGGCCCAUCUUGUGAUCAAGAUCCAGAACCGAGCCAGCGACACCUCGGAGUGUCGGGAAGAGGAAGAGAGGCUCUGAAUCAGUUGUUGCCAAAGGACAAACCCAUAGUCCAGAUUUAUCCCAUUGUACACCCCAUACAUAAUCGAUAGGAAAAGACGACUGGCCCCGUCAGAUCCUGAGCUCCUCUCUGACAGUCCCUUGAAGAGAACUAUAAAUAACCCAUUCCACUGAGGCGGUAGGCAGGAUUUCUUGAACUUGGCGACGGAGGUGAGAACCUCGGUGUAGCCCAUGCUGUAAAACAUGUUGUACAGCAUACCAACCGGAAUCGUCUCCGGGUGAACUCGCGACGGGUCAGCAGCAAACCCCAACAUCGUGCAAAAACGGGGGCGAGAAAUCGACGUCUUGUGUUCUGCCAAUUCGAAGAAUACCCUGUCAGUAGGCAGGAUUUCUUGAACUUGGCGACGGAGGUGAGAACCUCGGUGUAGCCCAUGCUGUAAAACAUGUUGUACAGCAUACCAACCGGAAUCGUCUCCGGGUGAACUCGCGACGGGUCAGCAGCAAACCCCAACAUCGUGCAAAAACGGGGGCGAGAAAUCGACGUCUUGUGUUCUGCCAAUUCGAAGAAUACCCUGUCAACAGCCUUGUCGUAGUAAGCCGUCGCGUAGACCUGAGAUAAGGCCACCAUUGGCACCGUUUCAAUCCGUGACAGUGCAGGAGCAAGCUGGGAGUACUUGAGACACUCGAUGAUCGGCGACAUGUAGGAGUCAUACGCCAGUGGAUUCAGAUCAAUGACCAGGCAUUGCUGAGGUCGGAUGGGAAGAAUCUGAGAAGUUGCAUGAACAGAUGAAGAUUCAGCCAUUGUUGCAGGUUUGGUGAAGAAGAUGACCGGGAGAGUGUUUAGAAGUAUUUUUGCUUUGGAAAUUAUGGGGGCAGUAAAGAGGUAAAAGGUGGUGUUGAUGGGUUUUUAUAGUAGGUGAUAGGAGAGAGAAAAAUCGUUUCAAAUCUCUUAUGGAAAUACGAAACGGGUUUUUGGAGUGACUGAUUGGUGACAGUUGGGACGUGCGAUGAU
rnacentral:lncRNA from 1 species